UUCAAGAUUUUCUUGGUCCCGUCGAA
rnacentral:piRNA from 1 species